rnacentral:lncRNA from 1 species
UGGGUGGAAGAGGAAUAAAAGACAUGUAACUUACUGAAGAUUCUUUUCUUUUCUUUUUCUUUUCUUUUUUUCUUUUCUUUUCUUUUCUUUUUUUUUUUUUUUUAGAUUGACAUGGUCUCAAGCCAAGGCAUAAAGCAGGGAGGGGCUUCAGGUGAAGACUGCCGGUUUCAGAUUGAUUUAUCUUAGAGAGCUUGCACGACCAGAGGGCCGUGCAAGGAGGGGCCGAGGGACAAGGAGAGAGGGAGAGAAGUGGACUCCCCAACUGAGCCCAACAGGGCUUGAUCCCACCACCCUGAGAUCAUGACCUGAGCCAAAAUCAAGGGUGGGACACUUAACCGAUUGAGCCACCCAGGGGCCCACUAAGCUAGUGUUUUGGAACUGUAACUUGGCUAACUCCAGGUAAGAGCUCUGUCUGUAACCACUUGCUGACUUAACUCCAGGAGGUGGGGAGCAA